UUGAACGCUGGCGGCAGGCCUAACACAUGCAAGUCGAGCGGAUGAAGGGAGCUUGCUCCUGGAUUCAGCGGCGGACGGGUGAGUAAUGCCUAGGAAUCUGCCUGGUAGUGGGGGAUAACGUCCGGAAACGGGCGCUAAUACCGCAUACGUCCUGAGGGAGAAAGUGGGGGAUCUUCGGACCUCACGCUAUCAGAUGAGCCUAGGUCGGAUUAGCUAGUUGGUGGGGUAAAGGCCUACCAAGGCGACGAUCCGUAACUGGUCUGAGAGGAUGAUCAGUCACACUGGAACUGAGACACGGUCCAGACUCCUACGGGAGGCAGCAGUGGGGAAUAUUGGACAAUGGGCGAAAGCCUGAUCCAGCCAUGCCGCGUGUGUGAAGAAGGUCUUCGGGUUGUAACGCACUUUAAGUUGGGAGGAAGGGCAGUAAGUUAAUACCUUGCUGUUUUGACGUUACCAACAGAAUAAGCACCGGCUAACUUCGU
rnacentral:rRNA from 1 species